ensembl:lncRNA AQP4-AS1 AQP4 antisense RNA 1
ACGACAGUGCAAGUGUUCGAAAGCACAAAGGCAGACUGUCUACCCGCGACAGUUCGCAAGUUGCGGUGGCGGGGCGGCUGUGCGGAGCGCGCGUGCAGGAGGGUAGAAUAACAUGGAAAGCAGCUUUUAUUCACUCCAAGGACAGCUAACUCACAUACAACAAAGGGCAGAAUAAGUCUCUAGGUGCAUAGAUUAGCCUCAGGGUGUCAUGGGUGUGUGUGUCUUACUUAGGAACCUCUUUAAAAAUAACUACCUUGUGAUUAGUAUCUGAUGCUAAUGGUAUAUUUUCAUUUAGAAAGUCUGAGGUCUUUAUUUUCUGAGACAGUGAAUGAACUUCUUUUCACCUUGUUCCUGGCUGUUUUUCCUCCAUUGCCUUAAUAAAGACUGAGGUGCAUAGGCACAUACACCUUCCUGCAAAUGGUAAAUUUUCUAAUAAAACAGUUUCCCUUUCUAUUAUAAUUCCAGUUGAGUGAAAUAUAAAAUAUUUACUAAGCCCCUUUUUUAUUUUUA